GGCCCAAAUCUGAAGUAAGGGAGAUUAGUGAGGCCAGCUGAUCCUACUGUUCUACUGUACUACGAAACUGGGCCC
rnacentral:pre_miRNA from 1 species